CUUUUCCUUUUUUUUUUUCUCUUCUUUUUCAUCUCUUUUCUCUUUUUUUCUGGCCAGUGACCACACUGUGCAGCUGGGUAUUCUGUACUGCCCAUGCAAUGAGGAAGCCAUUCUCUUCUCUGUGGGAAGCUUGGGAUGCAGGUCUCAGACUUUAUUUUAGCUGUAAUGUAGCAGCAACUCCCUCGUUUCAGUCAGAGUGGCUGUUCCCGCAUGGGGAAAUCACAGAGAUGACCAGCAAAGCUGCAGCAGAACUGCUGCAAGAUUUAAAGCAGAUCUGCAGGUACAAGGAUGUGCAAAGGAUCACAGCUGGAUUACAACCUCUGAAAAGGGACU